GGGCCGUGGUAUACUGACCAUGCGAAGGUAGCAUAAUCAUUAGCCUCUUGAUUUGAGGCUGGAAUGAAUGGUUUGACGAGAGACGGUCUGUCUCUUCGAUUAAAUUGAAGUUAAUCUUUAAGUGAAAAAGCUUAAAUGAACUUGGAGGGCGAUAAGACCCUAUAGAUCUUUACAUUUAAUUCUUUUGUCUUGCGGUAGGUAAUUAGAUAGAGUAAAAUAAUGUUCGGUUGGGGCGACGGUAUGAAUAGAAUAAACACUUAUAACAUAAACACAUCAAUAAAUGACCAUUGAUCCUUAGAUGAAUAAAGACCAAGUUACCUUAGGGAUAACAGCGUAAUUUUUUUUGAGAGUUCAAAUCGACAAAAGAGUUUGCGACCUCGAUGUUGGUUCAGGGAUCCUACUCGGUGCAGCAGCCUAGAGAGGCAGUCUGUUCGACUGUUAAACCCCUACGUGAUCU
rnacentral:rRNA from 1 species